AAGGCUUUAAGUUAAUAUAAACUAUGCGUCUUCAAAACGCAAAAUCUCAAGCUUUC
rnacentral:tRNA from 1 species